rnacentral:rRNA from 1 species
UUAGGAAUAUUCGUCAAUGGGGGAAACCCUGAACGAGCAAUGCCGCGUGAGUGAUGAAGGCCCUAUGGGUUGUAAAACUCUGUUGUAAAGGAAGAACACCUAGCAUAGGAAAUGAUGCUAGAUUGACGGUACUUUACCAGAAAGCCCCGGCUAACUACGUGCCAGCAGCCGCGGUAAUACGUAGGGGGCGAGCGUUAUCCGGAUUUAUUGGGCGUAAAGGGUGUGUAGGCGGUUUGUUAAGUCUAAAAUCAAAGCCCGAGGCUUAACCUCGGUUCGUUUUAGAAACUGGCAAACUAGAGUGCAGUAGAGGCAAGUGGAAUUUCUAGUGUAGCGGUUAAAUGCGUAGAUAUUAGAAGGAACACCAGUGGCGAAGGCGGCUUGCUGGGCUGUAACUGACGCUGAGACACGAAAGCGUGGGGAGCAAAUAGG